UGGGGAAUAUUGGGCAAUGGGCGCAAGCCUGACCCAGCAACGCCGCGUGAGGGAAGAAGGCUUUCGGGUUGUAAACCUCUGUCCUUGGUGACGAAAAAAAUGACGGUAGCCAAGGAGGAAGCCCCGGCUAACUACGUGCCAGCAGCCGCGGUAAUAAGUAGGGGGCGAGCGUUGUCCGGAAUUACUGGGCGUCAAGGGUGCGUAGGUGGCCUUUUAAGUUGGGUGUGAAAUACCCGGGCUUAACUUGGGGGGUGCAUCUCAUACUGGAGGGCUAGAGUGUAGGAGAGGCAAGCGGAAUUCCUAGUGUAGCGGUGAAAUGCGUAGAUAUUAGGAGGAACACCAGUGGCGAAGGCGGCUUUCUGGACUGUAACUGACACUGAGGCACGAAAGCGUGGGGAGCAAACA
rnacentral:rRNA from 1 species